GCGCCGUUGGUGUAGUGGUGACACACAACCUAAUCUUAAACCGUUUCGCGUAAAUCCGUAGGUUGGGUGCUGGGUUCGAAUCCCAGACGGCGUA